rnacentral:lncRNA from 1 species
CUUCACACGUUCUGGGGGCCCCAGCAUCUCGCAGGGCGCCCUGGGCGGGGGCGCAGCUGAGAACACACAGCCCCUGCCACGGGACCUGGGUGGCCCAGUCACCGGUCACACCCUCCCAGGCAGUUGUGGGAGGGCAGCUUCACGGUUCAGAAGUUUGCAGAAGUUAGAUUUUCUGAGAUGCUGUCUCUGUAAGCAGGAGUGAAGCUGGCGCUCUGGGCCCGGGUCCAUGUAUUAGUAGAUUCGCAGGGAUGGAGGCAGUGAUGACUUUGUAAUUGGCUCUUCCUGGACCUGGAAUUCUGCCCUGAUGCCUGGGUCUGACUGGGUCUGCUCCAGAAGGAACUUCACAGAUGCCAGCCAAGCAACGGUUGAGCGUGACGUCCUCUUCGUUCAGGUCGGGGCACGCCCUGUACCCUGAGCUUUGCCUCAAGGUCUGUGCCCCUGUGCCCAGGUUCCCACAGCCGCCCCUGGCUCCAGGAAGGCAGUGUCUGCAGUGAUGAGACCUUUUCUUUCAGUGAAAAGCAAAAAGUCAAAUCCAACCACCGGCUUCACCAGGCCAGGUCUCAUGUGGACAGGCUUCAGGAGGGACAAAUGUUUCCAGAGCUGGACAGGAAGACACCCCUGCCGGCAGCCUGCACUCUCCCAGAACCUACCCAGAUCUGCGGCUACCAGGUCGGGACGCGAGUCAGUGGAGCAGCUCAGGAGACAGGCAAAGCUCUUCAAGGAGGGCCCUUCCCACCAGUCCACCCCCGGGGCCAGCAGGCAGGAGCCUGCAAAACACCGAAAGGAGAGAUUGAAGCAAACUCAAUUUGCAUAAAUGCUUUUCCAGUUAAUCAACAGGCACCUCUGAGAGCAGGGCUGAUGGAGAAUGAGCUUAAGACCCACGGGCGGACGGCCAGCAGUGCCGUGGGAAUGGGGCUGUCUUAAGCCAAAGAGAAUUGCUCUGACACCCUGGAGAGCUACUGGGAGCCUUGUCCUGUCCUAGGUCCUGGGUGUGGACCCUCAGCUAGAAGAGACAGUGGAGGGCUCAGGAACUUCGAGGAAACAGAUCUAGAAAAAUCCCGCACAGGUGAUUGGGUUGGACUGCUCUGUCUCGACCGACAUGAAAUAGCCUCAGGAGAGACAGAAAAGUCCCUCACACCAGGCAGACUUUGUAAGGACGCUGGUCCUUGGUUCUGAUGGGGGCUGUCACAGCAUUUGUUGGAGGAAAAGGGAGGUCCAGUGGGAUCUGCAUGUCCCAGUAACUUCAGAUGGUGACACUAUACACAUGGCCUUUGAAGCCCGGGGUCUAUAACAUUUUAAUCCUUAGGAAGCACUGGAGAGCUGGAGCAAAGCCGUGGGGCUCUCUCCUGCAGGAGCCGUAGGGCAGUGGUGGCCUGGCGGAGGCUUCUGUCCUGCGUGCUGUGUAUUUGAAUCAUCAGAGGGCAGGCUGGCGGGAAUGCUCCUGACUAGACACAGGUCCCAGAGAAGGAAGCCAUCAGGCAGGGGACACCUAGCCUGGGAUGGGCCUCCUUCCCCCGAACCUCUGCCCUCCAAUUUGAGUCAGCAAUUGGACUAAUGAAUGACUCUUGGGCAAUUGGAGUUCUGAAGGGGACAAAGCAAAGUGUAAUGAUAUGAUUAGAAAGGUCCCCCAAUAAAGACGCACAAGCCCCUCGUUACA